rnacentral:lncRNA from 1 species
GAGUGUAUCUCUCUUUAAACACUGGUGUUGUGACAGGCUGGACAACAGGAUGUGGCAGCUAAUGAAUGCCUUCAACACACAGUGUCUUUAUUAAACUGCUGGAUAAAGAGAAGACCAGUUUACAGAACAGAGGACAGCAUAGAGGACACGGGACGCUUUAGAGAAAUAAUUACUCUCCCACUCAAAUUGAUAGGCAUGGGGCUUGAUUGAUAAGUUGAUUUGGUAAUUGCUGAGCCUGUGGAUUUGGACUAUUUCCUGGGGUAGAACAUAUGGUGUGAUUUACGAAGCAGUUCAAGAGGACAAGCCAGACAAGUAGAUGGAGGGAUUGAAUGACAUUUUUGGAAUGCAGCUCUAAACAGAAGACGGGAAAGAGAACUGUCACUAUACAGGAUCGCAAAAUUAACAGCACCCUUCUCAGAGAGACUGAGAUCGAGACUGAGGAACAAGGAAGUUCAAAAUACACUAAUUUACUGGCACAGCAAGCGAUGAGGAGACACUAAAGGCUGGAUGCCUGAUCCUGGACCUGACAGUUUGAUGGCCGUGUGAAACUCAAGAAAGGCCAAGCUGGUUUGUUUUCAAGCCGUUUAUAAACUGUACCAACGUGUUCCCAGUACACUGGAGAUGCUAAUUCACUGCUGACUUUAAUCACUCAUCUGUGUGAUCACUCACACAACAUGCUAGUCAAUUUGCAUGUGCAUGCCAGGCAAAGCAUGCAGCACACAAAUACUGAGCGAAAGGCGAUAUUUCUCUUAUGUGUUCAGGUGCUCUUAUUCAGAUUUGAUGUCUUGCAAUGUUUAAACUAGCACAAAGGCAGAAUCCAGUUAGUGUAGCUUGGCAUAAAGAUGCAUCCAUUCUGCUGAACCUGUAAAGCUUAAAUAUAAAAUGCAAGUAAAUGUAAGUGUACAUGAUAGUCUAUAAUAAGAUUCCUCAUCAAGGUCCUCUGAUCUCUAAUCUCUGACUUAAAUAAAAAUGAUGAAUGAGAAUCUUCA